rnacentral:lncRNA from 1 species
UCAAUGUGGAGGCUAUAUACAGGGGGUACCGGUACAGAGUCAAUGAGGAGGCUAUAUACAGGGGGUACCGGUACAGAGUCAAUAUGGAGGCUAUAUACAGGGGGGUACCGGUACAGAGUCAAUGUGGAGGCUAUAUACAGGGGGUACCAGUACAGAGUCAAUGUGGAAGCUAUAUACAGUGGGUACCGGUACAGAGUCAAUGUGGAGGCUAUAUACAGGGGGUACCGGUACAGAGUCAAUGUGGAGGCUAUAUACAGGGGGGUACCGGUACAGAGUCAAUGUGGAGGCUAUGGGGGUACCGGUACAGCGUCAAUGGGGAGGCUAUAUACAGGGGGUACCGGUACAGAGUCAAUGUGGAGGCUAUAUACAGGGGGUACCGGUACAGAGUCAAUGUGGAGGCUAUAUACAGGGGGUAUCGGUACAGAUUCAAUGUGCGGGGGCACCGGUUAGUCGAGGUAAUAUGUACAUGUAGGUAGAGUUAUUAAAGUGACUAUGCAUAGAUAAUAACAGAGUAGCAGCAGCUUAAAAUGGGGAGGCAAUGCAAAUAGUCUGGGUAGCCAUUUGAUUAGAUGUUCAGGAGUCUUAUGGCUUGGGGGUAGAAGCUGUUUAGAAGCCUCUUGGACCUAGCCUUGGUUCCCCCGGCACCGCUUGCCGUGGGGUAGCAGAGAGAACAAUCUAAGACUAGGGUGGCUGGAGUCUUGGACAAUUUUUAGGGCUGACACCGCCUGGUAUAGAGGUCCUGGAUGGCAAGAAGCUUGGCCCCAGUGAUGUACUGGGCCGUACGCACUACUCUCUGUAGUGCCUUGCGGUCGGAGUCCGAGCAGUUGCCAUAACAGGCAGUGAUGCAACCAGUCAGGAUGUUCUCGAUGGUGCAGCUGUAGAACCUUUUGAGAAUCUGAGGACCCAUGCAAAAUCUUUUCAGUCUCCUGAGGGGGAAUAGGUUUUGACGUGCCCGCUUCACGACUGUCAUGGUGUGUUUGGACCAUGUUAGUUUGUAGGUGAUGUGGACACCAGGGAACUUGAAGCUCUCAACCUGCUCCACUACAGCCCUGUCGAUGAGAAUGGGGGCGUGCUCAGUCCUCCUUUUCCUGUAGUCCACAAUCAUCUCCUUUGUCUUGAUCACUUUGAGGGAGAGGUUGUUGUCCUUACACCACCCGGCCAGGUCUCUGACCUCCUCCCUAUAGGCUGUCUCAUCGUUGUCGGUGAUCAGGCCUACAACUGUUGUGUCAUCAGCAAACUUAAUGGUGUUGGAGUCAUGCCUGGCCGUGCAGUCAUGAGUGAACAGGGAGUACAGGAGGGGACUGAGCACGCACCCCUGAGAGACCCCCGUGUUGAGGAUCAGUGUGGCGGAUGUGAUGCUAGUCCUUUUGAUGCUAGUCCAUGAUACUAGUCCAUGAUACUAGUCCAUAUGAUGCUAGUCCAUGAUGCUAGUCCUUUUGAUGCUAGUCCAUGAUACUAGUCCAUAUGAUGCUAGUCCAUAUGAUGCUAGUCCU